rnacentral:lncRNA from 1 species
UCUGCCGUCUGCCUCCUGGAAAUUCAGGCUUCCUUUCACCUGGGCCUCCCCCUCCUCCCCUGAGCUUCCCUCACCGGCAGGCCAGCCCGGCCCUCAGGGACAGCUGGUGGGAAAGAUGAGAAUGAACACGUCCAGCCCAGCCCUGAGCCAGGGCAGGUGCGAUAGAUAUAGGCUGGGAGGCCGGUCUCCCUUGGUUCUCAUCUCGCCGGGUUCUAAUCUCUCCUGAAGUCUUUUUCACACUAAAGCCCUCAAAGCCAGCUGAAGCACUCGCCCGUGGUUCUGAUUAAACAUUGUUCUGACAAAGGAAAUAUUAUCCUCAAAGCCCUAACACUACAGAUGGGCCCCGUGUCUCUGGGUCCUGCCCCGUAUGCUUGGAGAGGGGUUUGGCGACUCAGCCAUGCCCCAGGGGGAGGCUUGCCGGCCUGCGGGCCCCGCCACCUUCCUGUAAGCGCUGGUCUAGCUGAAUAUCAAGGUCCCCGGAGGGCCAUAUUUGAUGCUGUAACUGCUGGUGUCACUUUACAGUGAAGACAUUCAUUAUGUCCCUUUGCAGAGCAUAUUUGAUGCAGAGGAGGCCGCUGGAGGCCUGAGAGGAGUGAGGAGAAAGUGCAGGUCCCCGAGCAGCCCCUGGGCGCUUCGCCGCCCAGCUGUGGGCAGGUCAGCAAGGCUGAGUCGCAGGGAACAGGAGGGGCCUCUCCAGGAUCCAGGGCCGGGGCCCUUGGAACUCAG